AGGUGCUUGCACCUUUCAAGUGAGUGGCGAACGUAGUGAGUAACACGUGGACAACCUGCCUCAAGGCUGGGGAUAACAUUUGGAAACAGAUGCUAAUACCGAAUAAAACUUAGUGUCGCAUGACAAAAAGUUAAAAGGCGCUUCGGCGUCACCUAGAGAUGGAUCCGCGGUGCAUUAGUUAGUUGGUGGGGUAAAGGCCUACCAAGACAAUGAUGCAUAGCCGAGUUGAGAGACUGAUCGGCCACAUUGGGACUGAGACACGGCCCAAACUCCUACGGGAGGCUGCAGUAGGGAAUCUUCCACAAUGGGCGAAAGCCUGAUGGAGCAACGCCGCGUGUGUGAUGAAGGCUUUCGGGUCGUAAAGCACUGUUGUAUGGGAAGAACAGCUAGAAUAGGAAAUGAUUUUAGUUUGACGGUACCAUACCAGAAAGGGACGGCUAAAUACGUGCCAGCAGCCGCGGUAAUACGUAUGUCCCGAGCGUUAUCCGGAUUUAUUGGGCGUAAAGCGAGCGCAGACGGUUUAUUAAGUCUGAUGUGAAAGCCCGGAGCUCAACUCCGGAAUGGCAUUGGAAACUGGUUAACUUGAGUGCAGUAGAGGUAAGUGGAACUCCAUGUGUAGCGGUGGAAUGCGUAGAUAUAUGGAAGAACACCAGUGGCGAAGGCGGCUUACUGGACUGCAACUGACGUUGAGGCUCGAAAGUGUGGGUAGCAAACAGGAUUAGAUACCCUGGUAGUCCACACCGUAAACGAUGAACACUAGGUGUUAGGAGGUUUCCGCCUCUUAGUGCCGAAGCUAACGCAUUAAGUGUUCCGCCUGGGGAGUACGACCGCAAGGUUGAAACUCAAAGGAAUUGA
rnacentral:rRNA from 1 species